UGGAGCAUGUGGUUUAAUUCGAAGCAACGCGAAGAACCUUACCAGGUCUUGACAUCCCGAUGCUAUUUCUAGAGAUAGAAGUUACUUCGGUACAUCGGUGACAGGUGGUGCAUGGUUGUCGUCAGCUCGUGUCGUGAGAUGUUGGGUUAAGUCCCGCAACGAGCGCAACCCUUAUCUUUAAUUGCCAGCAUUCAGUUGGGCACUUUAAAGAGACUGCCGGUGUUAAACCGGAGGAAGGUGGGGAUGACGUCAAGUCCUCAUGGCCUUUAUGCUUAGGGCUACACACGUGCUACAAUGGGUGGUGCAAAGAGAAGCCAACUCGCGAGAGCGCGCCAAUCUCAAAAAGCCAUCCUCAGUUCGGAUUGGAGUCUGCAACUCGACUCCAUGAAGUUGGAAUCGCUAGUAAUCGCGGAUCAGCAUGCCGCGGUGAAUACGUUCCCGGGCCUU
rnacentral:rRNA from 1 species